AUUAAUAAGCGGAGGAAAAGAAACUAACAAGGAUUCCCUCAGUAACGGCGAGUGAAGCGGGAAGAGCUCAAAUUUGAAAUCUCCGGUGCUUGCAUCGGCGAGUUGUAGUUGCGAGAAGCACUUUCUAGGUGGAUCGGCGGUGCCUAAGUUGCUUGGAACAGCACGUCGCAGAGGGUGACAACCCCGUCUGUGGCGCCGCCGGCCGCUGACGAUGUGCUUUCGAAGAGUCGGGUUGUUUGGGAAUGCAGCCCAAAAUGGGUGGUAAACUCCAUCUAAAGCUAAAUACUGGCGUGAGACCGAUAGCGAACAAGUACCGUGAGGGAAAGAUGAAAAGAACUUUGAAAAGAGAGUUAAAAAGUACGUGAAACCGUCGGAAGGGAAACGAAUGGACUCAGCAAUGCGCCCUCUGAGAUUCAGCCGGUGGGUGGCGUCGGCGCGGGGUUUGCGGAUCUGAAUGGACCGCGGCCCGGCGCUCGCUUCUUCCCGCCGUCGCACUUCUCUGGGGCGCGCGUCAACGUGGGUUGGGACUGGGUCUGAAAGGUGCCGGGAAGGUAGGUGUGGGCCUUCGGGUCCGUUCUGUUACAGCCCGGUUCUCUCAUGGCUCGGGCCCGACCGAGGAGCAGACAGGGCAUGCCUCCUGUGGCUAGGGUCCCGUCCUUCCGGCCGGCUGUCCAGUGUGGUGGACUGCUUGCAGUGCUCUGCGACGGCUGCCGGUCGUUGGGGUGGUGAUCUCGUACCAUGCCCUUGGGAUGUUGGCGGUCAUAUGG
rnacentral:rRNA from 1 species